CCUACGGGGUGCUGCAGUGGGGAAUAUUGCACAAUGGGCGCAAGCCUGCUGCAGCCAUGCCGCGUGUGUGAAGAAGGCCUUCGGGUUGUAAAGCACUUUCAGCGGGGAGGAAGGCGGUGAGGUUAAUAACCUCAUCGAUUGACGUUACCCGCAGAAGAAGCACCGGCUAACUCCGUGCCAGCAGCCGCGGUAAUACGGAGGGUGCAAGCAGUUAAUCGGAAUUACUGGGCGUAAAGCGCACGCAGGCGGUCUGUCAAGUCGGAUGUGAAAUCCCCGGGCUCAACCUGGGAACUGCAUUCGAAACUGGCAGGCUAGAGGCUUGUAGAGGGGGGUAGAAUUCCAGGUGUAGCGGUGAAAUGCGUAGAGAUCUGGAGGAAUACCGGUGGCGAAGGCGGCCCCCUGGACAAAGACUGACGCUCAGGUGCGAAAGCGUGGGGAGCAAACAGGAUUAGAUACCCUGGUAGUC
rnacentral:rRNA from 1 species